AACUUUCGUGAGCUGUAAACUCCCGAAAUACACCAGUGUUCCAGUAUGCCGCUCUUCCAGUGUUUUCAAUGAACAUAUGUUUUAUCAGAAAACACAUAAUUGGACUCAGUGCUCAGUGGCCCUAUCUCUUGUUGGAGCAUCCCUCAGGCUAAUCUGAGAAAUUAACAUGAAUUACUCAAGGUGAUGAGGACAAUUGAUGACAGAAUAGUACAUGAAUUAAACACUACGGUUCCAACAGCUUCCUUUGCAGGGAAAAUUGAUGCCAGCCAAACCUGUAAACAACUUUAUGAGUCUUUGAUGGCAGCUCAUGCCAGUAGAGACAGAGUCAUAAAAAAUUGUAUAGCCCAGACUUCAGCGGUAGUAAAAAACCUCCGAGAAGAGAGAGAAAAGAAUUUGGACGAUUUAACGUUAUUAAAGCAACUUAGAAAAGAGCAGACAAAGUUUGCUAUGAAGAUUAUGGAAUCAGAGAGAGCUCUUGGAGAUGGUACAGCUCUACCUCUUCAUUUUCUGUCUGAGGAAAAAGACUCAGAGAUACUUGAGAUACUAACUGACACCCCCAAAGCCACAAGCUAUUGAAAUGGAUGCAGUCAGAACUGAAUGUUGAAGAAGUGGUAAAUGACAGGAGCUGGAAGGACUGGGUCAUCUCAUAAGAGCUAAGCAUGACAGAUAUCAACAGGGCGGGCUUUCUAGGAUGAUUUCUGAGCCAACAGUCCAAGACCUUUUGUUGAUUUCAGCCCCACUUAGCCAAGACCUCAAGUAUAAAUAAUUCUGAUAAUUAUGGAGAAAUCAACUGCUAUUUUAUACUGAUUCUGUAAAAAAAAAAAAAAAAAAAGUUUUGUAACUAUUAAAAUAAUUUUCUGACUCAGUGUA